rnacentral:lncRNA from 1 species
AGUUUAAGAGGCUACAGCAGGGAGGGAGCGGGGGAGGGGGCGGCAACGGUGGGGGCGCCCAGACCCUGCGGGGGAAGUGAGUCACCCAGAAAACGCAGCAUCGGCGGCUGGCCGUUAACCCGCUCCCGGCCAGGGAGGAGAUGUGGGCUUGGCCGGCCACGCCCUCCCUGCUGGACCAAGCCCGUCCCUGCCGCCCACCACCCCGACUUCACUUCUCACCUCUUAGCGUCAGGAGCCACCUCGCCUCGCACUCGAAGGCACUCUCCAGGUUUGAGAUUCAGGUUGCUGGCGACCAGACCCUGCACAGACAAGCCCCGGCCCAGCCGGGUUAGAGGACAAGGCCUCCACUGCUCGAAGUGUCCGGGGGUGGCUGGGGGUGGGAGUGGGGUUGUUCCCGCCCGGCAUCCUCUGACCAAGCCAAGGGGAAGCCUGGGGAAAGGAUUGAGCUGUAAUUUCCAGCCUCCGAUUGUCUAUGUGGUCCUGGGAAAGUCCCUAUUCCCACCGGGGUUGGCUUCAGUCUGUAACGUGAAGGUUCUAGAAGACAGGCUCUAGAAGAUUUUGCAGAUUGGCUUGGGAAUUUUGGACUCAAGAGUGACUUGGGAGAUGGGGUGCUCUGUCCCAUCGCAGAUGGAGAGGAUCAGGCUGGGGAGGGGCCGACACUUGGCCCACCGUCACACUGAAUGGAGGGGCCGGCCCCUCUGCUGGAGAGGAAGUGGCUAGGGGCGGGCGACCCCACUAUUCUCCUUCAAGCCCCUCUCUGCAAAGAGGCCCAGGGGCUAGAGAGGAGACCCUGAAAAACACGGCCUCUCUGCAUUAGGGAGAAUAGCCCUGCAGUCGGGCUGUGGCUGGGCUGGCUCAGGGUUAACAAGAUUGAGCAAACUGCUGGGCACUGCUGUUCCCUGGCACCCCGAGUGGGUGGGCAAGAGUUAACUGGUUUGAGUGGUUUCUUCUGCCAGAAACUUGAACCCUUUCCCUGGGGCCCGAGGAAGAUUCUCACCUCCCUGCCACCCCAACCUCCCAGCUUGGGGGUGGUGGAAGGGAAUUUCCCCCGCCCCCCCCGCCACCAGCCUGGACACAACCACCCUCCACCCCCGACCUAGAAGGGCCCAUCCUGGGCAGCUUGUCUCGGGUCCUGGCAACUUUUCAGCGUUCUCUGGAGCAGAGGGUAACUCUGCCCUGGCCUGGUGACCGGGACAGCUGCAGGGGGGAGGGGACAGGAGGCUCUUUGGGGUGGAGGAGGGGGAAAGGGAUAGUGGCCUGGGUGUCCCCCAGUUGGCCACACCCUUCCCACGCUCACUUCUCAGAGAGCUGCAGAAUGUCAACCCUGGGCAGAAAUAACUGUGCUUUCAGACCCUGGAGGAAUCCAGACAAUUAUCAAUGCAGAGAAGGCCUUGAGGGACCAUGGCGCCCACCCCCAUUUUACAGAUGUGGCCACUGAGGUCCAGAAAAGAGAAGGCACUGGUUCCAGGCCACACAGCUGGGGCUAGAAUCUGCUCCCGAUCUGCCCAGCUCUCCUCUGGCCAUCAGUUCCUGCCCUAUCCCCUGGACCUUGGGGGGGGGUCCCCACACUCACACAAGCCAUGAUUGAGUCCAGGAGGAUGUUCCCGGGCAGGCGCACCAGCUGUCAGAAGACUCCACCCGAGAGAGAUGGGCCCCCGGACGCUCCCACCCUUUUAACUGGACCGGACCGGGUGAGCCCCGCCCCCUGAAAGUUCAGCCAAUUGCAAGUCAGGAUAGGGCUGGGGGCCACUGGGGGCGGAGUCCGUGGAAUUUUGAAGCCAGUUUUGGAGCAGAGGUGACCAAUCAGAGUGGCGAGCUGCUGCCCCCCCUCACCCCGCCGCCCCCGGCCAGAGUCCAAGCUCCACCUCCUAUUCUCCUUCAUCCCUCUCCACCUCCCCACCAAAAUUGUGCUGUGGCAGAGAUUGGGGGAAGCCAGUGGAAAAUAGUUUGAUGAUGAGCUAGGCCCACAAGUUGGCGGGAAGGGGCCUGUGGCCAGCAGGCUGGGCUCAGGGGGUGCCCAGAGAAGAUGGCUGAGGAGGUGCAGGGUCCUUCAGGGAAUCAGAGCUGGGGGAGACCAGGCCACUCCCGGGCAGGGACCAGGGCGUGGCUCCUGCUGCGUGCGCGUCUGCAGAGGGCCACUGACUUAACCACAGGCCCUGGCCCCACCCGGGCCUUCCCCGGAAGCAAGGACUGCGGCUGCUGCAGCGCUCUCUCGCUGGCUCCUCGGGAAGGCUAAAGAAAGGCUGGGCCGGGCGCCAAGCCUGAGGCUGCAGGGCUUGGCUAAGGCCUCGGGCUUGGCCGCGUUCAGGGGCAGGCAGGGGAUAGUCAAAGCGCCCUGGCCUGACAGCCUCAGGCCUGAGAGUGUCAAGCUUAGGAGAUGGCCCAGGGUGGUCCAGACCAGGAGGGGGUGGGGUCCUGGCUCUGUGCACCCUGUCCUUUCUCUUUUUUAUUUUUAUUUAUUUAUAUAUUUAUUUUUGAGAUGGAGUCUCGCUCUGUCGCCCAGGCUGGAGUGCAGUGGCGUGAUCUCAGCUCACUGCAACCUCUGCCUCCCAGGUUCAACUGAUUCUCCUGCCUCAGCCUCCCGAGUAGCUGGGACUACAGGCCCCCACCACCACACCCGGCUAAUUUAUGUACUUUUAGUAGAGACGGGGUUUCACCACGUUGGCCAGGCUGGUCUCAAACUCCUGACCUCAGUUGAUCCACCCGCCUCAGCCUCCCAAAGUAAUGGGAUUACAGGUGUGAGCCACCAUGCCUGGCCACCCUGUCUGCUCUCUUAACAUCUCCUCUGAGGCCCGGCACAGCCCUCCCUUCCCUGAGUGUUCAGCAGGUAUUUUACUGAGCACCUACUAUGUACCUGGCCCUGGGCUCUGAGGAUUCAAAGCUGAACCCCUCCCAGUCCCCACUCUCAAGGAGCGCAUAGUUGGGGUGGAAUCUGACCACAACCACGUUAAGAAGUAGAUGAUGGGCUGGGCGCAGUGGCUCACGCCGGUAAUCCCAGCUCUUUAGGAAGCCGAGGCGGGCGGAUCACCUAAGGUUAGGAGUUCGAGACUAGCCUGACCAACACGGAGAAACCCCAUCUCUACUAAAAAUACAAAAUUAGCUGGGCAUGGUGGCAUAUGCCUGUAAUCCCUGCUACUCCUGAGGCUGAGGCAGGAGAAUCGCUUGAACCCAGGAGGCAGAGGUUGCAGUGAUCCGAGAUCAGUCUAUUGCACUCCAGCCUGGGCAAUAAGAGUGAAACUCAGUCUCAAUUAAAAAAAAUAAAAAAUAAAAAUAAAAAUAAAAAGAAGUAGAUGAUGAUGGCUGUAAGGGAAGCCAUGAGAAAGUGCUAUGGUGGGCUGGCGGCUGCAUGAGUAAAGGAGGUGGGUCGUGAAGGGUAGGCGGAGAAGUGCCUGGCUUUCCACCAUGGGCAGAAGCUCCAGAAUGAGAAGGCCAGGGCUGGAGAACAGUGUUCCGGGCAUGUGGGGGAAAAACGGGGAUGAGGCUGGGAAGCCAACAGGACCUGGACCAUGGAGGGCCUCAUGGGCUGGGCACAGGGCUUGGACAUUGUUGUAUGGGAGGAGGCUGGGGAGCCAGGGCUAGAGGGAGGGUGAGUACUGAGGCCAGAUUUGGGCUCUAGGGAAGAUCACUGUGGCAGAGAAUUGAGGGUGGGUGGGAGGGGUGCUCACCUUACACUCAGGAACCUGGUGGAGGAAGGGGCGUGGGGAGCACUGGGCAAAAUGAGGGGCAUGCUGGGGGGUUGUCACGGGGACCUCCUUCUCCACCUGGCCGUCCCCCUUCUGAAACUGCUGGCACCAAAGAGGGACGAAGAUGCGGACCAGGAGUGACUCACAUCUGGAAGCCAGGCCAACACACCCACCCUGCCUCUCAGGGGCACCUUCCUCCAGAUGCCCAAAGCCCACUCUGGUACAGGAUGAGAGGGGAGUGUGUAGGGCCGCAAGGCGGACCCAGAGAGGGGAUGGGGUUGCACCCCUGUGAGU